rnacentral:tRNA from 1 species
GCCUUCCUAGUGUAACGGUUAGCACACUCGGCGCGUAUUCUAGAGGUCCUGGUUCGAGUCCCGGCGAGGGCA